AGUACACUGUCUGUCAAGUGAUGCACAUGAUUGGUGGCGGAGAGCAAGGCGAGACCAGGGACUGGUGGCGACGUAGUUGAGGUGGGAUGAGUUCUGUGGAAUGCUGUAUGGGAUGUAUUUCCCCAACAGCAUGAAACAGAAGAUCGAGGAGGAUUUGAAGAGGAUCCAGCAGGGUAAGCGGACAGUUCAGGAGUAUGUUCGGGAGUUUACUAGGUUCCUGAACUGUGUUCCGUUCGUGG
rnacentral:lncRNA from 1 species